rnacentral:lncRNA from 1 species
GGAAGGAAGUAAAAGUACAAGCGUGACGUAAAAAGCAAAUGCCAAGUCAGCGUGAACAGUACGGGGGUACUGUUCACCUAUUUAUAGGCACGGGACACAACCCAUAUAAAAUUACAUCCAUGCCCUUUACAUUUGGUAGUAGCUCUAUAGUAAUCCACCGAGGUUUAAAUAGCCUUUUCAUAUUUAAGUCGGUUUCCUUUUCUGCAGACACGUCGAAGCUUUCCUGCUCACUCCUUCGGCACUGUAUCAACCUUCGUAUUCUUCGAGCUUCUCCCGCUGUGGUACCGAUUCGAGUCCGAAGAUACCUGUUCACACAUUAUACUCCAGAAACACAGUUAAAUCCUGUUUUUGAGGACCUUCGGAAGCCGAAGGCCCCCAACACUAGGUUAUAACAUGAGUAGAGAUCAUAUUUUAACUUAGUGGGAUUAAUCUACUAAACAUAGGUCAAAUAAAGAUCAAAUUAUAAACGUAUGAGAUAUGCUACAAUUAACGCAGUUACCACGUAAAAAAAUAUUACAAAGCGAACACAACUUGAACGGACCAAAUCGGGGUUAACCCCAUUGAGUCACACCCCUCUAAUCUGAACCCAACGUCCAUGAUUUAAUCACGAAAUGGUAACCCCUACUUCUAAUCUGGCGCACUAGCACAAGAUCCAACGAUUAGAAGUCUGUCAUCGCCGGACGGCAGCACCCACACGCAUAGGCGGUGGUGCCAUCGCCGGUGCACCUAGUUCCAUGCUUCGGCCCAUUAACUUCUAAAUCGUGGGGUCCUAUGAGAAGAGGAGGAAACUAUGAUUUAUCAGAAGAGGUUCUCACCUCUGGUGAUGACGCGACCACGUUGACGGCAACCCGCGGUGGCGCAGUGACCAUGACGAGCAAACCCAGGGACCCUGGCUUCAAAUCAUCACCAGUGAGGUCACAGGCGCCCUCCACUCGCCCCGGGGAAUCUCCCUAGCCUGACUACGAGGCCCUAACGAGGGAGCACAGGAGUUCUGCCAUGGCAACACUCCUACCUCUUCCCCCGCUCCACGUGCGUGCUUUGUUCGCCGGGAGAGGCCCCAGUACGAUGGGAGGAAGAGGUAUCACAGGGGGGUCGGUUUUAUAUGUAUCCGGAAAAAGUCCAAUGGCUGAAUGACG